GCGACAUGCACUACAAAUUGAAGGUAUGAAAUUAAGUUAAAUGAAAGCUCGUUUAUUCACCAUAUGAUGCUCGUUAUGAGGUAAUCAUAUAGGCUAGAUACCGUGAGUUAACGAGGUCGUUUACAUGCACGUGAGUGCACGGAUAUCGGUUAAUUAUUCAAAUUACUGAAAAACACGGAGAAAACCGCAACCGCAUCGUCAUGUGUUUUUUUUUUUUUUAGAUGUAUGCAAACAGGGAAAAUAUCGCCAAACCAACAAUUCAUUUUACCUCAGAAUAUGCACAGAUUGGAUGCAUUGUGUGUUGUAAGCUUUUCGUGGCGCUAGAUGUCAGACAGAUGCAAAUAGCAAAUACACACUAAAGUGUAAAACGUGUAUGGCGAACAUUUGUUUUUCUGUCAUUAUAGAUGCUAGUUUGGUGAAAGUACAGACUGAGUGCUUAAAAUCAUUCAGAAGAGAUGCUGUUUUUAUGUCAGUUUAUUAAAGAAGACCUGACAUGGAUGACUUCCAAAGAGAAACGACUGCUAAUACUUAUAUAAAUUCAUUACAGAAGGACCCUACCAGACUAUAUUUGAAUACGGCAUACCCAUGAAUUCUGGAACUUUUAUUUCUUAACCCAGUUUGGAGGAUAAGAGCUUACCAACUAUAAAUAUGCUGAGGUGAUGUAUUGCAAAAUAGCCAACAUACAACAAUUAAAGGAUAAUUGCAGCCUAUAUCCUGAUGAAGAUAUGGAUGACCCUCUGUCUGGUCAACAAUAGUUUAAAUAUGGAUGGGACAGUUAUGUGGCAGCUCUUCCCUGGCUCAUUCACUUCUUGCCUUCAUUUGUGAAAGGAAGAAAGACUGGAGAGGGUCAAUGUGCAACUGAAGCUACUGAUUGUGCUGUGUGAUGAGCAUCAAUCCAUGCUUUGAGGUGGAUGGAUCAGCACAGCCCUGCCUGCUCUGCGUUGGGAACAAAAGUUGCAUCCAGAAUUUUUGCAUCAUUCUGGACCAAAAAGCCAUUCCCUGCAUGAUGAAGACCACUGAUGCAGCCUUCCACUACAUCAUGAGUAAAACAACUACAGAACUAAAUACCAGGUUGGAACGUGUUUAAGAAAAAUGAAACGUCUUUUGAAUUGAAAUGUCUGUUUUGUUAUGGAAAAAUCUUUAGUAUUGUGAAGGAUAAGCAUUUCUGCUUGUCGAUAAGGUAAUUGCAUGUAUUUUAAUGUUCAAGUUUUGAGUAGGGUGGCUAAUUUUUUUAACUCUUAUUUGAUUUAUUAAAGAUCUUUAUAAUAAGUGGUUUUCAUGUCACUGCGAUGUGGUAUAAGAUAACUUUCAUUAUUCCAUACUGUAUUCUGUUUCUAAUUGUAGCUGAGGUAUUUAAAUAAGCAGUGUUAAAUGCAAAGUGUUGUGUGUAUCAAUGUAAAUAUUAAAUGUGAUUUACUUUAAUAAAAAGAGGUUUUGCAAUA